ACGGGAGGCAGCAGUGAGGAAUAUUGGUCAAUGGGCGGAAGCCUGAACCAGCCAAGUCGCGUGAAGGAUGAAGGUAUUAUGUAUUGUAAACUUCUUUAGACGUAGAGAAAUAAGGGGAUCGUGAUCCCUGAUGCUAGUAUACGUAGAAUAAGGAUCGGCUAACUCCGUGCCAGCAGCCGCGGUAAUACGGAGGAUCCGAGCGUUAUCCGGAUUUAUUGGGUUUAAAGGGAGCGUAGGCGGGCUUUUAAGUCAGUGGUCAAAGCGUGUGGCUCAACCAUACCACGCCAUUGAUACUGGAGGCCUUGAGUGCACAUAAGGAUGGUGGAAUUCAUGGUGUAGCGGUGAAAUGCUUAGAUAUCAUGAAGAACUCCGAUUGCGAAGGCAGCUGUCCGGGGUGUAACUGACGCUAAUGCUCGAAAGUGCGGGUAUCAAACAGGAUUAGAUACCCUGGUA
rnacentral:rRNA from 1 species